GUUAGGCACUAGAGGGAGUCUUAGGGGUAGGGAUUGCAGAGAAAUACUUACACCUCAGGACCAGGAAGAUGCUGCUGGAGCCGACGCAGCUGCCAAGAAAAGACCCUUAAGAAGUUGUACUUGGGGCCAAUCCACAGGUGUUGGCAAUACAGACAUAACACAUGCUGCUAUAGGCAUUCAACCUGAUGGCUAGAGUGAUAUGACUGUCUGCUUCUUUUAUCUGUUUUCAAGGUUUCCAGCAUGAUCCUCCUGGAUUAAUUAGUAGCGUGGCAAUUGUGCAAAUGUACAGCUGUACUCAUGGUAACAAUGACAAGUGAAGCAGAACAUACAGCAGACAGAUCGGACAACCUAAACCAGGAUGUAGCUUCUCCGGAAGGUAAACACAGCAAACAAUUACACAGAACUCCCAGCUUGGCUUUCUAGGUGGCACCAGCCACUAUUGGUGGCAGCUUGUCUCCAGAUUUAAAGACCAGAAUCCCAGUGUAAGCCCCAAAGGUAGACGAGUUUCCAGUAGCUUGCAUUGUGAAUCAAUGCUACUUUAAUACCCUCCAGGACCAUACCUGAUUUCUAAAUAAAUGUGAUUCUUGACAUUUUCAUUUUAUAAA